CCCUGUCUCACACCAACGCCUCUGUCUAAACGGCUCGUGUCCUGCGAACCAGUCGUUGACCCGAAGCUCAUCACUGGCCCUGGUAUAUGUUCUUUCUUCCUCUGCAUAGCUUUGGGUCUCGGCCUCUUUCACGCCUUCUCCAGGAACAGGUACAGUUUCCACAUCAACAAAAUCAAAGCUGCUCAGGAGGAACCACAACUCCAUAAACUGCUGGUGUUCAAUCUCCAUGAACAGUUUUGUCAGUGGACUUGAAUGAGACUGCAAAGUCAGAGAAAGCAGCAGAGCUGGGAACAGCAAGCAGAUGCCCUGAGUCAGCCCAAGGAACUCCAGACAGACACACCAAUAUAACCAUCAGCACACUGAAACAGUUCAGUCUUUGAGAGGUCCUACAGAUUCCUCUGACAUUCCUGCCACCGGAGAUGUUCAGCCCUGUUGGGAGACCCCUCCAUCCUCUUCCUGGUCAGGAAAGGGACACAACUGGGCCCUGGAAGACCAACUGGGUGGAGAGUGAAGGCAGGACUGGCUCUGAGAGUGGACUCCUGGUGAUACGGUUGAGAGUAAAUGUGGAUGAACAUCACUUCCCCUCUGCUGAUGGAGCAAUGAGGUUUCCUUGCCUCUCUCUGCCUGCUCUUCAACACCAAAUGGACUUGCCAGUGAAAGAAGAACUUGUAUCUGCCUGACUGCUUUCAGUUCAAGUCAUCUUUGCCAGCCAAAGCAGACUCUUCUUGCCUGCUUCCAAGAGGCAUGAGCUUAAACAACUGGUCUCAGAGUGGGGUGUCUCUACAGUCUUAGCCAUGAAGAGAGGAGAUGAAAUGUUCUCCUGUUCAGUGUAUAUGGAAGAGACUGGAGCAAGCUCCUAUCUUCGUAACAGUAAAACUACAGUGAAAUCUGAAUUCUUUGUUCAUGUUUCAUUGCCUGCUUUGAGGAAAACAGUGAUCAUGGGAUCAGACAUCA